UACGUAGGGUGCAAGCGUUGUCCGGAAUUAUUGGGCGUAAAGGGCUCGUAGGCGGUCUGUCGCGUCUGCUGUGAAAACUCAGGGCUUAACCCUGAGCUUGCAGUGGGUACGGGCAGACUAGAGUGCGGUAGGGGAGACUGGAAUUCCUGGUGUAGCGGUGAAAUGCGCAGAUAUCAGGAGGAACACCGGUGGCGAAGGCGGGUCUCUGGGCCGUAACUGACGCUGAGGAGCGAAAGCAUGGGGAGCGAACAGG
rnacentral:rRNA from 1 species